UUUCCGGUUGAUCCUGCCGGAGGCCACUGCUAUCGGAGUUCGAUUAAGCCAUGCGAGUCGAGAGGGUUCAGACCCUCGGCGGACUGCUCAGUAACACGUGGAUAACCUGCCCUAAGGUGGAGCAUAACCCCGGGAAACUGGGGAUAAUACUCCAUAGAUUACAGACACUGGAAUGUUCUUUAGUCGAAAGUUCUGGCGCCUUAGGAUGGAUCUGCGGUCGAUUAGGUUGUUGUUGGGGUAACGGCCCAACAAGCCUGUAAUCGAUACGGGUUGUGGGAGCAAGAGCCCGGAUAUGGAAUCUGAGACACGAUUCCAGGCCCUACGGGGCGCAACAGGCGCGAAAACUUUACAAUGCAGGAAACUGUGAUAAGGGAACUCCGAGUGCCCGUAUACGCGGGCUGUCCAGGUGUUUAAAAAACAUCUGAAGAAAGGGCCGGGCAAGACCGGUGCCAGCCGCCGCGGUAAUACCGGCGGCUCGAGUGGUGGCCACUAUUAUUGGGCUUAAAGCGUCCGUAGCUGGACCGAUAAGUCUCUUGGGAAAUCCGCCGGCUCAACCGGCGGGCGUCUAAAGGAUACUGUUAUUCCAAGGACCGGAGAGAGGUGAGAGGUACUCCGGGGGUAGGAGUGAAAUCCUGUAAUCCCCGGGGGGAGCACCGAUGGAGAAGGCAUCUCACCAGAACGGCUGCCGACAGUGAGGGACGAAAGCUGGG
rnacentral:rRNA from 1 species